AACGAACGCUGGCGGCGUGUCUUAAGCAUGCAAGUCGAGCGGCAAGGGUAGCAAUACCCCUAGAGCGGCGGACUGGUGAGUAACACGUGGGUGAUCUACCUCGGGGAUGGGGAUAGCCAUUAGAAAUAGUGGGUAAUACCGAAUACGUUAGCAAGCUUGCGAGCUUGUUAAGAAAGGCGCUACGGCGCCACCCUGAGAUGAGCCCGCGCCCCAUUAGCUAGUUGGUGAGGUAACGGCCCACCAAGGCGAUGAUGGGUAGGCGGCCUGAGAGGGUGUACGCCCACACUGGGACUGAGAUACGGCCCAGACUCCUACGGGAGGCAGCAGCUAAGAAUAUUCCGCAAUGGACGAAAGUCUGACGGAGCGACGCCGCGUGGAUGAUGAAGGCCGGAAGGUUGUAAAAUCCUUUUGUCGGGGAAGAAUAAGCAUGGGAGGGAAUGCCCGUGUGAUGACAUGAACCGGCGAAUAAGCCCCGGCUAACUACGUGCCAGCAGCCGCGGUAAAGUC
rnacentral:rRNA from 1 species